rnacentral:rRNA from 1 species
GACGUAGGGUGCGAGCGUUGUCCGGAUUUAUUGGGCGUAAAGAGCUCGUAGGCGGCUCGUCGCGUCGACCGUGAAAACCCGCGGCUUAACUGCGGGCUUGCGGUUGAUACGGGCGGGCUAGAGUUCGGUAGGGGAGACUGGAAUUCCUGGUGUAGCGGUGAAAUGCGCAGAUAUCAGGAGGAACACCAGUGGCGAAGGCGGCACUCUGGGCCGGUACUGACGCUGAGGAGCGAAAGCCAGGGGAGCAAACGGG